AAACAUCAAACGUGAUCAUUCAAAAUCAAGCAAAAGAUAAACAUAGUUAGUGAUAGAAAGAAAACCAGAUAAAUGAAAUCAUAAAACAAAAACUUAGUUCUCAUGAAAUGAGAAACAUUAUUCAAUGAAAACAAAACUAAAAUAAAAAAAACUUUAAGCUUUAACCGCCACAUUCCACCUUCAACCUUCAUGUAAUAGAUAAUUAUUUUAGAAGUUCAAUAAUAUCUUAAAGUAUUUUGGAUACAUAUUAAGAAUUAAGAUCAUAUUUGGUAGAAGUUCUUUUUGUGAUUAUAAAUGUUUCGGAUUCUAUC
rnacentral:lncRNA from 1 species